CCAAAAACCCCCCGAACCUCAACCACACAAUUUUAAAAUUAUGUUGUCCCUUGUCCCUGCUCUACUACCCCAAAACCCAAUCACCUCGUACUUUGUACCUCCUCAUAUAAUAUAAUAUAUUAUCCCAGACCCAAAAGAAAACCUCGUAUAUAUCUAGAGUAAUAAGUACCCCGAAAACACAAAACGCCUCAAAAACCUCGUAUAAUAAUAUCCACCCUUCCUCUCCGUGUCGUAGUACAAUAUAUAAUACACCCAACAGACCUCAACAACGGAAAAAAAAACCUUUCACAAACCCCACAACAACAAAAAUUUAACUCCACAAACCCCUUCCAAUCUCUAUGUACCAAUUGCAAUCGUCAGCAUCAUCAUUCAUAAUCAUCAUCGGCAGCUGAUGGCUGUGCUGCUGUUGGCCUGAUGCAGCUGGCCGUCAUCGCCGCCAUCGUCAUCAUAUCGCCAUCUCGUCAAUGCCGUCGUCACAGUGCCAGCAUCCACGCCGCCGCGAGUGGGGACUCAUGACGGCGCCCAUGACGGCGCCGUCUAAUAACGCAUGCGCCAGCUCUAAAGGUGACGCGGCGGCAGCGGCGGCAGCGGUGCAGGGCUGGUGGCGAAAGAUGGGUCGCUGUGAUGACCCACGGGUCGGCCCCGUAGCAGCGCCAGCGGGUAGCAGGCCAGCAUCGGCAGAGCAUGCCGCACGUCACGGCCUUCGUCAUCAAAAGCACCCCCCCCACACGCCACGGCAUCCGUGCUUAAACCCUAAUAAGCACGAGCACGAGCACUGGCGCUGGCGCUGGCGCUUGGCUCAUCCUAGCCAUGUCUCUGCUUUUCACCUGCUGGCUGGGGGGGGGGAGGGGAGGAAAAUUAAAAACAAUUAGGGCGACGGCACAUUUUUUAUAAAAGUUUCUAUCGUAUGAAAAGUGAGGGGGGGCAGCAGGUGUGAGCAUGAGCAAAAAUUUCCUGUUUUUAAAAUAUGUGUACACAGCAGAUGUAGUAGAUAAUGUGGGAGGGCUGUGGGUACGCCCCCACCCCCACCCCCACCCCCGCCCUCUUCAUCUUUUCCCCCGAAGGCCACGCCCUCAAAAACCAACAUAUCGCCACACACCUAUGCCCCAAUUCCCGGACGCUUUCUAAACCUUUCUAUGUGCCAUUACCUUUAGAUAGGAUGCCUGUCCACCGUUUUUCAGUGACCCCCAAGCGCCUGUAUAGAUAGAGACUACGAUGCACGGCGGCUGCACUAGAAUACAAAAUCGAUCUCUUAUGCGCGGCGCUGGACUGCUAAUAUAAGCUAUAUAAAAUCUAUUUAUAUAGCAGCUGUGAGAGUCCCAGGGCUAAUAAAAGGAAUUGCGUGCGCGGUUUGCCCGAUGAAGGCGGCGGCGAAAUCCCACCCAUCACCUACUAUUAUUUACUAUACACGCGUCAGAUGUCAGUGAAGGAGACAGCGAAUCUACGAAAAUCACUUUGAAUGAAUGUUGUUAUAGUGAUAUAAAAUUAUUAUUGUGUGUGCCUGUGAUGUGUGCGCUAGAGAGGGAAGGCCACAUAAUAUACUACAAUGGCGUGCGCGGCAGAAAAAGCUAUACACAUCUCUCCCAGGAAAACGCGCUGCCUGCAGGCUCUUUUUGCCUAUUAUGCUCUUAAAAAAACCCCGACCAUAACACUUACCGAUGGCGCUACACACGGCGGAUGUCGGGUAGGCGGACUGCUUAAACCCUAAGCACGAGCACGAGCACUGGCGCUGGCGCUGGCGCUUGGCUCAUCCUAGCCAUGUCUCU
rnacentral:lncRNA from 1 species